rnacentral:rRNA from 1 species
UGCGUAGGCGGUUCGGUAAGUCUUGUGUGAAAUCUUCGGGCUCAACUCGAAGUCUGCACGAGAAACUGCCGGGCUUGAGUGUGGGAGAGGUGAGUGGAAUUUCCGGUGUAGCGGUGAAAUGCGUAGAUAUCGGAAGGAACACCUGUGGCGAAAGCGGCUCACUGGACCACAACUGACGCUGAGGCACGAAAGCUAGGGGAGCAAACAGGAUUAGAUACCCUGGUAGUCCUAGCCCUAAACGAUGAUCGCUUGGUAUGACGGGUACCCAAUCCCGCCGUGCCGAAGCUAACGCGUUAAGCGAUCCGCCUGGGGAGUACGGUCGCAAGGCUGAA